CCAGCUGUGACCUAGCCUUGCGCUUAUGCUCCUUCACUCUGACCUCACAUUUUCUGGCUCUUGGGAUCCAAAUGAGAAGGAAGUAAAGUCCAGAGGCAACCAGAGACAGUCUCUGGAUAUAGUGGGUACUCUGGAACAAGAAUUUCAUAGUAUGAUUGCAAUUCAGUGGGUGUGCUGUUCCCAGAGGAGAAGAUGAUCUCAAGCUGGUGCAUUCAUAUUGGGAAAGGCUGAGAAACAGCAUAGAAAAGUUUUGUUUUGGACAAAGUUGGGGUUCUGCGUGCCUGUCCAUCCAGCAGUAGCUGAAUGUUGAAGGGGUCCCAGUGCUGUGUCAGGUUAUUGCAGAAUGAAUCAGCAGAAUGAAAGAAUUGAUGAAGCUGGUAAGAGUAUCUGCCAUCUCCUUUUGGAAGUAGUGCAUCUGUUCUGUACACUUAAAUUACCUAAAAGCGACCCAGGUGGUACUAGCGGGAAAAAAGAUGUACCCAUUAUCUGGAAGGGAGAGGUUAGGAAGGAGAGAGAAGCCUAGGGGCUGUAGAGUGGCAGAGACACAGGAGGCUCAGAUAUGUAAAAAAUCCAAACAGCUUAUUACACUGAAGCUGCAAGUCAACAGGUAAAGAUCUAUUUAAGGUGAGCACUCCCUUUAAGAGUGAGUUAUUGAUCCCUAAUUGGUUUCCACAAGGUCAAGGGCCUGAAACAUAAAGGAGUUGGGCCAUUGCCCAGCUGACAUCUGAUGCUGAGAGGCAUCUGAGUAAGAUUCUUUGCAACAACUUCUAAGAGUUAUUUUUGAACUAUUAAAACUGAGGCAUCCUGUGCUAUGGGCUCCAUCUGCUCAGGGGUUUGGUCAUCUUCCUCCACACUACCUGCAUAAAGCUGCUGAUGGAGCACUGCACUUCAGAGACCCAAGUGGCUUUAUACUGUUAUGACCUGUAAUAGAUGAGAGGCUAGAGAUAAGCUUUAGGGCACACCUGACUGAAAAUGAAGUGUGUAUCUUAAAUG